rnacentral:rRNA from 1 species
GACGAACGCUGGCGGCGUGCUUAACACAUGCAAGUCGAACGGAAAGGCCCUGCUUUUGUGGGGUGCUCGAGUGGCGAAAGGGUGAGUAACACGUGAGUAACCUGCCCUUGACUUUGGGAUAACUUCAGGAAACUGGGGCUAAUACCGGAUAGGAGCUCCUGCUGCAUGGUGGGGGUUGGAGAGUUUCGGCGGUUGGGGAUGGACUCGCGGCUUAUCAGCUUGUUGGUGGGGUAGCGGCUUACCAAGGCUUUGACGGGUAGCCGGCCUGAGAGCGUGAACGGCCACAUUGGGACUGCGAUACGGCCCAGAAGCCUAUGGGCGGCAGCAGUGGGGAACAUUGCAGAACGGGCGGAAGUCUGAUGCAGCAACGCCGCGUGCGGGAUACCGGCCUUUGGGUUGUAAAACUCUUUCGCCUGUGACGAAGAGUGAGUGACGGUAAUGAGUAAAGAAGCACCGGCUAACUACGUG